UACGUAGGUGGCAAGCGUUAUCCGGAAUUAUAGGGCGUAAAGAGCGCGCAGGUGGUUGAUUAAGUCUGAUGUGAAAGCCUACGGCUUAACCGUGGAGGGUCAUUGGAAACUGGUCGACUUGAGUGCAGAAGAGGGAAGUGGAAUUCCAUGUGUAGCGGUGAAAUGCGUAGAGAUAUGGAGGAACACCGGUGGCGAAAGCGGCUUCCUGGUCUGUAACUGACACUGAGGCGCGAAAGCGUGGGUAGCAAACAGGAUUAGAUACCCU
rnacentral:rRNA from 1 species